rnacentral:rRNA from 1 species
ACCUUCGGGUGUGAGUAGAGUGGCGGACGGGUGAGUAACGCGUGGGAAUCUGCCCUGCAGUGGGGGACAACCCGGGGAAACUCGAGCUAAUACCGCAUACGCCCUAUGGGGGAAAGCGGGGGAUCUUCGGACCUCGCGCUAUUGGAAGAGCCUGCGUUGGAUUAGCUGGUUGGUGGGGUAAAGGCCUACCAAGGCGACGAUCCAUAGCUGGUCUGAGAGGAUGAUCAGCCACACCGGGACUGAGACACGGCCCGGACUCCUACGGGAGGCAGCAGUGGGGAAUAUUGCGCAAUGGGCGAAAGCCUGACGCAGCCAUGCCGCGUGUGUGAAGAAGGCCUUCGGGUUGUAAAGCACUUUCACUUGGGAAGAAAGGUUCGUAGUUAAUACCUGCGAGCUGUGACAUUACCUUGAGAAGAAGCACCGGCUAACUCCGUGCCAGCAGCCGCGGUAAUACGGAGGGUGCGAGCGUUAAUCGGAAUUACUGGGCGUAAAGCGCGCGUAGGUGGUUUGUUAAGUCGGAUGUGAAAUCCCCGGGCUCAACCUGGGAACUGCACCCGAUACUGGCCGACUGGAGUGCGAGAGAGGGAGGUAGAAUUCCACGUGUAGCGGUGAAAUGCGUAGAUAUGUGGAGGAAUACCGGUGGCGAAGGCGGCCUCCUGGCUCGACACUGA